rnacentral:lncRNA from 1 species
GAACCAGCAGCUUUGGACCUUAUUGAUUGUCUGCAGUUACCAGCAGAACAAAAGAACAUACCUAGAUCCUGCCUAGGAGAAAAGAACAAUGCUUUUCUUUAUAAUCAGCAGUGUUUUCACCAUGACCCACCACCCCAAAAUACUAUUGUCAGAAACUGUAGUCUAAAGUGAUUACACAGUUACACUGAAAUAGCUAUUUGUUUUAUAAAGACCAUACGAAAGCAACAGAGUAGAUAUCUAUGUAAGAGGCAGAAUUAAAAUACGAGUGGUUUUAAAUGCUUCUUUUGGUGUAUUUUAAGGUGGUUUGUGUAAAAGAAUAUCUCCUUAGUUAAUGAAGAGAAUUGUUUAUAUUUAUAACUUUUUUCAUUUGCAUAGAAUUAUAUACAUUGGCUACUUAAAUCAAUCUUGUUAUGUCUUCAUACAACUAUGGCUCGGAAUAUGUAAUCUACAGCUCUGAUGCUUGAGGCCUAGAAAUAAAAUGAUUUACAGUCUUUUUUACUGACCCUAUUAGAUUUUACUACCGAUUUAAGGAAAAUGCUGUUUAUAUUUGGUAUUUAUUGCCAGAGUUUUCCUCAGUCUUUCACCCAAACAAAAUACUUUAAAUGUAUCAGAAAUUCCCUUGUUUAAAGAGCCCAAGAAUGAGAGUUGUCCUCAAAAAUUUAGGAAAAUAUGGCACCUUUUGGUUUUCACAUUUUACUUUGUGUGUGGGUGUGUCAAGGACCUGUGUGAGAUAAAGCAGUGAACCCCACCUACGAAGUCAAACUGUCCCGGCUCCUCUGACAACUGAAUGUGAACUGCAUAGUUUCAGUUUACUAAGAAUUUUAGUUUUAUUAGCAGUAAGUAUUCCAACCAUAACUAAUGUGUCACAUUUGGACAUUUAUUGGUCAUUGCCACCUUAAAUGUGUAUUUUUUGAAGACAAAAUCAAUAUACUGAAUCUAUUAAAAAAUGUUACAAUAGUGUUACGUUACAAAUAUCAAGAUUCGAAAUGAAAAUGAGAGACUUUCCAAUUAAGAAGAAAGAAAGUGACUUUCUUCUUUUAACUCCACUACUUUACAUUGGUAGCAUAAAUU